rnacentral:rRNA from 1 species
AUUGAACGCUGGCGGCAUGCUUUACACAUGCAAGUCGAACGGUAACAGGGAGCUUGCUCCGCUGACGAGUGGCGAACGGGUGAGUAAUAUAUCGGAACGUACCCAGAAGUGGGGAUAACGUGGCGAAAGUUACGCUAAUACCGCAUACGAUCUACGGAUGAAAGUAGGGGACCUCGGCCGUAUGCUUUGGAGCGGCCGAUAUCUGAUUAGCUAGUU